UUUGGGCUGUAACUGACGCUGAGGAGCGAAAGCAUGGGGAGCGAACAGGAUUAGAUACCCUGGUAGUCCAUGCCGUAAACGUUGGGCACUAGGUGUGGGGACCAUUCCACGGUUUCCGCGCCGCAGCUAACGCAUUAAGUGCCCCGCCUGGGGAGUACGGCCGCAAGGCUAAAACUCAAAGGAAUUGACGGGGGCCCGCACAAGCGGCGGAGCAUGCGGAUUAAUUCGAUGCAACGCGAAGAACCUUACCAAGGCUUGACAUGUUCUCGAUCGCCGUAGAGAUACGGUUUCCCCUUUGGGGCGGGUUCACAGGUGGUGCAUGGUUGUCGUCAGCUCGUGUCGUGAGAUGUUGGGUUAAGUCCCGCAACGAGCGCAACCCUCGUUCCAUGUUGCCAGCACGUAAUGGUGGGGACUCAUGGGAGACUGCCGGGGUCAACUCGGAGGAAGGUGAGGACGACGUCAAAUCAUCAUGCCCCUUAUGUCUUGGGCUUCACGCAUGCUACAAUGGCCGGUACAAUGGGUUGCGAUACUGUGAGGUGGAGCUAAUCCCAAAAAGCCGGUCUCAGUUCGGAUUGGGGUCUGCAACUCGACCCCAUGAAGUCGGAGUCGCUAGUAAUCGCAGAUCAGCAACGCUGCGGUGAAUACGUUCCCGGGCCUUGUACACACCGCCCGUCAAGUCACGAAAGUUGGUAACACCCGAAGCCGGUGGCCUAACCCUUGUGGGGGGAGCCGUCGAAGGUGGACCAGCGAUUGGGACU
rnacentral:rRNA from 1 species